CCCUUAGAUGUUCGGGGCUGCACACGCGCUACACUGGAGGAAACAGCGUGUAUUGACCUGGUCCGAAAGGACUGGGUAAACCUGUGAAACUUCUCCGUGCUUGGGAUAGCGGAUUGCAAUUGUUUCGCUCCAACGAGGAAUUCCUAGUAAGCGUAAGUCAUAAGCUUGCGCUGAUUACGUCCCUGCCCUUUGUACACACCGCCCGUCGCACCUACUGAUUGAAUGACUCGGUGAAAAAUCGGGACUGCGAGAACAAUCGAUUAAUUUCGAAUGUACUUGUGGGAACUUUUUUUAACCUCGCCAUUUAGAAGAAGGUGAAGUCGUAACA
rnacentral:rRNA from 1 species